GAGUUUGACCAUGGCUCAGAUUGAACGCUGGCGGCAGGCCUAACACAUGCAAGUCGAACGGUAACAGGAAGAAGCUUGCUUCUUUGCUGACGAGUGGCGGACGGGUGAGUAAUGUCUGGGAAACUGCCUGAUGGAGGGGGAUAACUACUGGAAACGGUAGCUAAUACCGCAUAACGUCGCAAGACCAAAGAGGGGGACCUUCGGGCCUCUUGCCAUCGGAUGUGCCCAGAUGGGAUUAGCUAGUAGGUGGGGUAACGGCUCACCUAGGCGACGAUCCCUAGCUGGUCUGAGAGGAUGACCAGCCACACUGGAACUGAGACACGGUCCAGACUCCUACGGGAGGCAGCAGUGGGGAAUAUUGCACAAUGGGCGCAAGCCUGAUGCAGCCAUGCCGCGUGUAUGAAGAAGGCCUUCGGGUUGUAAAGUACUUUCAGCGGGGAGGAAGGGAGUAAAGUUAAUACCUUUGCUCAUUGACGUUACCCGCAGAAGAAGCACCGGCUAACUCCGUGCCAGCAGCCGCGGUAAUACGGAGGGCGCAAGCGUUAAUCGGAAUUACUGGGCGUAAAGCGCACGCAGGCGGUUUGUUAAGUCAGAUGUGAAAUCCCCGGGCUCAACCUGGGAACUGCAUCUGAUACUGGCAAGCUUGAGUCUCGUAGAGGGGGGUAGAAUUCCAGGUGUAGCGGUGAAAUGCGUAGAGAUCUGGAGGAAUACCGGUGGCGAAGGCGGCCCCCUGGACGAAGACUGACGCUCAGGUGCGAAAGCGUGGGGAGCAAACAGGAUUAGAUACCCUGGUAGUCCACGCCGUAAACGAUGUCGACUUGGAGGUUGUGCCCUUGAGGCGUGGCUUCCGGAGCUAACGCGUUAAGUCGACCGCCUGGGGAGUACGGCCGCAAGGUUAAAACUCAAAUGAAUUGACGGGGGCCCGCACAAGCGGUGGAGCAUGUGGUUUAAUUCGAUGCAACGCGAAGAGCCUUACCUGGUCUUGACAUCCACGGAAGUUUUCAGAGAUGAGAAUGUGCCUUCGGGAACCGUGAGACAGGUGCUGCAUGGCUGUCGUCAGCUCGUGUUGUGAAAUGUUGGGUUAAGUCCCGCAACGAGCGCAACCCUUAUCCUUUGUUGCCAGCGGUCCGGCCGGGAACUCAAAGGAGACUGCCAGUGAUAAACUGGAGGAAGGUGGGGAUGACGUCAAGUCAUCAUGGCCCUUACGACCAGGGCUACACACGUGCUACAAUGGCGCAUACAAAGAGAAGCGACCUCGCGAGAGCAAGCGGACCUCAUAAAGUGCGUCGUAGUCCGGAUUGGAGUCUGCAACUCGACUCCAUGAAGUCGGAAUCGCUAGUAAUCGUGGAUCAGAAUGCCACGGUGAAUACGUUCCCGGGCCUUGUACGCACCGCCCGUCACACCAUGGGAGUGGGUUGCAAAAGAAGUAGGUAGCUUAACCUUCGGGAGGGCGCUUACCACUUUGUGAUUCAUGACUGGGGUGAAGUCGUAACAAGGUA
rnacentral:rRNA from 1 species